rnacentral:lncRNA from 1 species
CUACCUCACCCCUUCUGCCAAGUGAGGGCACAGCAAAAAGACGACGGUCUGUGAACCAGGAAGCAGAUUCUUACCAGAUGCUGAAUCUGCUGACACCUUGAUCUUGGACCUCCCAGCCUCGAAAACUAGCUGAAAAUCUUCUCCUCCUUCUUCACGAAGCACCUUGGAGCUCUCUUUUUUGUGAAGCCUCUUCCAGCAUCCUCAGAUGGAGUCAAUCUCUCUUCCCCUUGAACUUGGGCUGGCCUUUGUGACUGCCUCAAGAAAUAGAAUGGGGCUGAAGAGAUGCUCUGCGACUUCCAAGGAUGAGCUGAAGAAGUCAUGCAGUUUCAAUCAAUUUCUCUUGGGACAUUUGCUCUGGGAGCCUUUACCCUCCACAUAAGAAGUGUGGAUACACGGGAAGAGACAGAGAGGGAGAGAAUGGCCUGAGGAGCUUUAGAUGUUUUUCUGACAUCCAAUCUAAAUGUUGGACUUGGGAGUGAAGAAAUUUUUGAAAUGACCCCAGCUCCAACCACUGUCUGACAGCAACCACGCGAGAAAUGCCUGCAGUCCAGUCAAUCCACAGAUUUGCAAGCAAAAUCAAUGAUAAAGUUUUAAAAUACUCCCAUAAAGUGAUUUGUUACUUAGCCAUAAUCCAGCACGUGACAAUUAGUUUCAAGAAAUGAAACAAUUCAAACUUUUCAUUACAUGUUCCACUGAAACGUCUUCUGCCUGAAAUACCGAGUGCCAUCUUAUAACAUACUUUCCAACUUGUAUCAGAAGUACCUCAAAAUUAGAUUUACACAAUUCUGAAGAGAGGGGGACUAGUUAGACCAGAUGUGCUUAAAUUAAGCAUUAAAAGUUUUACAUUUUCUACGAGAUUAUUGAAAAAAUAACCAUCUAUAUAACUUUUAC